AUCUGUCACAAUAACAUGUUGAAUGCACCAGUUCUCAAUAGUUCACAGAAGUUAAGAAACGUUGAGCGUGGUUGGUAUUUGGAUACACCAAAUGGACAAUCAUGAGCUGCUGGAU
rnacentral:rRNA from 1 species